rnacentral:lncRNA from 1 species
CAGCCUUCUCGGAUGUCUUUUUGAAUCAAUGUCUUCUGGCACUGUGUGGACUUGGCGAGACACCAACCUGAGCACAGUGAGACUCGGUAUCGCAGGCCGUCACAGACGUAGUCCCUGAAAACUGGGACAAACAGAAAACAAAGUAAGGAAAAAGCGAGCAUGCAGAACAGAGCAGCUUGCUGCUUGAAUUCAUCUGAGUGCAAACUCAGUGCCGCUGUAUCACUGCUUCGAUCAGAAGACAAAAGCAACCGCAGUUUCUAAUCCCCCACAGCUGCAACUGUUAACCGAGAUCAAAAUGAUGGAGACUGCCGUCUACUGGAUACUGAGUCAAUGAUGAAAGAUAGCAAAUUUGCCUACUCAGAGGGAAUCAUAGAAUGGCCUGGGUUGAGAAGGACCACAAUGAUCAUCGAGUUUCAACCCCCCUGCUAUGUGCAGGGUCGCCAACCACCAGACCAGGCUGCCCAGAGCCACAUCCAGCCUGGCCUUGAAUGCCUCCAGGGAUGGGGCAUCCACAGCCUCCUUGGGCAGCCUGUUCCAGUGUGUCACCACCCUCUGGGUGAGAUUGUCCCCUCCAGCCUGUAUGUCUUACCUAAUCUGUCAAAUCUCCUCGUGGAGAGUAGGACCUCUGUCACUGCAUUUCAGAACAAGGCACUCUAUAACUGGCAAAUACUGGUGCAAAAACGUGAAUCUUUUUUUACCUGUUGCAUCCACUUUAGCAAUCUCUACUGGCUUCAAAAUAUGCAUGUAAUCCUAUACUGAAUAAUCUCUUUUCAUAUAGCCUGUGCUAAUCUUAACACUAUGAUGUCAUCCAAAAUCCACAGUAUUGGUGAAACAUGUUUUAAUAUUCCAGCUCUUUUGAUCAUCCCUCGUAAAUCAAUCCCUCAAUCUCUUUAAUUAUUUUAAUUGCUCUUCUUUAAAUUCCCCUUGAGUGUAAUUUUCUAAUAGGAAGAUUUCCCAAAAUAUCCCAGGCAUGACUUAGUUAAGUAGUAGGCAAAGAGUAGUCAUGCCAAAGGAACGGAAGAGAAAAAUCUGUUAGUUUCUUCCUCAGUGAUUCACUUCACUUGGAGGGGCAUCUGUGGGCUUUCUGAUAUGUCUGCUCUGUAAGACCACAUAUAAUUUACUGUCUGCUUUCACUCCUACAGGUCAAUACUGCAGAUUUCUUCCUUUUGCUGAAUGUUUUCCUGUGGCUAUACCAAGAUUUCCAAGCCUUUCCAGCUCUUCAGAUGAAGUCCAGUGCUGAUCCAUAAAAUUCCCAACCACAUAAAAAAGAAUAGGGUAAGAUUAUUCUGUUUCUUUUUUCCUGUAGCAAGUUUAAUUAAAAAGACAAUGCUCCACCCACCUUCCAGUACUAGUCUAGAAUGGUAGGUCUUAAAUAGCAAAAUUAAUGCCAGCAAAAGAUCUGCUCUAUUUUUCCCCCUGUAAACCUGGUAAGUUGUUCAUGUGUAUAUCAGGGCAUAAUUGAGCUAGGCUCCUGGCACGUAUGAGCAAAUACUUGAAGGUAUACUUAGGUGACAACAUCACCAUUACUUUCUUCUGACUAUUCCACAAUGGAAAGAUAAUGUAAUUGCUUCAGCUAAACAAAGGGCAUUGGUUAUUUCCUUGUCGCACUGAAGUCUAAGACAGUGAGCUUCUGUAUAUAAUAAGUGAAACGACUGCUAUUGCUGAAAACAAAGGUGAAACAUCAGAGAUCAUAAAAUAUGGGAAUUUUCCUGGCUGUCCUGUGACAGCUUCAUGCCUGAAAAAAAUUAGUAGAGAGACCAGAAAAGGCAGCAAGG